CAGUCGCCACGGUAAUACGUAGGGUGCAAGCGUUAAUCGGAAUUACUGGGCGUAAAGCGUGCGCAGGCGGUUUGUUAAGACAGAUGUGAAAUCCCCGGGCUCAACCUGGGAACUGCAUUUGUGACUGGCAAGCUAGAGUGUGGCAGAGGGGGGUGGAAUUCCGCGUGUAGCAGUGAAAUGCGUAGAUAUGCGGAGGAACUCCGAUGGCGAAGGCAGCCCCCUGGGCCAACACUGACGCUCAUGCACGAAAGCGUGGGGAGCAAACAGGAUUAGAUACCCCUGUAGUCCCUGUCUCUUAUAC
rnacentral:rRNA from 1 species